GUCGUAUGCAAUAUUUGUGAGAACAGCGACGAGGAUGAAUACCACGCGGUGGUCAGCUGCACAAAAAGCAGGGCACUAAGACAUGCCAUGAGAGAGGAGUGGGUUCUUCCUCCUGAAAGUUCUUUCUGGUACACGGGCUGUGACUGGUUACAGAUUCUAUUAAGUGCAGUUUCAGAGGAUACGAAAGCAAAGCUGCUGCUACUUCUGUGGAGGUGCUGGCACCUGAGGGAUAACUGCGUACACGGGAACGGCAAAGACUCUCAAUCACGGCGAACUGAGAAGUGCCGCGUCGGGGAACAGUCAAGCUCUGGCAAAGCGAUUGCUGCUACGCCCAACCACAUCACAUGGGUAGCGCGAUCGACUAGCAUGCGUUCGAUAGCACGCUGA
rnacentral:rRNA from 1 species